GUUUGAUCCUGGCUCAGAAUGAACGCUGGCGGCGUGCUUAACACAUGCAAGUCGAACGGUAACAGGAGGAAGCUUGCUUUCUUGCUGACGAGUGGCGCACGGGUGAGUAAUGCAUAGGUAACGUGCCUCUUAGUCUGGGAUAGCCACUGGAAACGGUGAUUAAUACUAGAUACGCCUUCUCUCUUGAUGAGAGUUGGGAAAGUUUUUCGCUAAGGGAUCGGCCUAUGUUGUAUCAGGUAGUUGGUGAGGUAAUGGCUCACCAAGCCUAUGACACAUAGCGGGUCUGAGAGGAUGAUCCGCCACACUGGUACUGAGACACGGACCAGACUCCUACGGGAGGCAGCAGUGGGGAAUAUUGCACAAUGGACGAAAGUCUGAUGCAGCAACGCCGCGUGGAGGAUGACACAUUUCGGUGCGUAAACUCCUUUUAUAUGAGAAGAUAAUGACGGUAUCAUAUGAAUAAGCACCGGCUAACUCCGUGCCAGCAGCCGCGGUAAUACGGAGGGUGCAAGCGUUAUUCGGAAUCACUGGGUGUAAAGGGUGCGUAGGCGGUUUGGAAAGUCAGAUGUGAAAGCCUACAGCUUAACUGUAGAACUGCAUUUGAAACUUCCAGACUAGAAUACUGAAGGGGCAGAUGGAAUUAGUGGUGUAGGGGUAAAAUCCGUAGAUAUCACUAGGAAUACCGAAAGCGAAAGCGAUCUGCUGGGAAGUUAUUGACGCUGAGGCACGAAAGCGUGGGGAGCAAACGGGAUUAGAUACCCCGGUAGUCCACGCCCUAAACGAUGAAUGCUAGUCGUCGGAAAGCUCGUCUUUUCGGUGAUGCAGUUAACACAUUAAGCAUUCCGCCUGGGGAGUACGGUCGCAAGAUUAAAACUCAAAGGAAUAGACGGGGACCCGCACAAGUGGUGGAGCAUUGGUUUAGUUCGAAAAUACGCGAAGAACCUUACCUAGCCUUGACAUUGAUAGAAUCUGGUAGAGAUACCGGAGUGCCUGCUUGCAGGAGCUUGAAAACAGGUGCUGCACGGCUGUCGUCAGCUCGUGUCGUGAGAUGUUGGGUUAAGUCCCGCAACGAGCGCAACCCUCGUCGUUAGUUGCUAACAGCUCGGCUGAGCACUCUAGCGAGACUGCCUUCGCAAGGAGGAGGAAGGUGAGGACGACGUCAAGUCAUCAUGGCCCUUAUGGCUAGGGCUACACACGUGCUACAAUGGGGCGUACAGAGAGUUGCGAUACCGCGAGGUGGAGCUAAUC
rnacentral:rRNA from 1 species